GAUGAAGAACGUAGCGAAAUGCGAUAAGUAGUGUGAAUUGCAGAAUUCAGUGAAUCAUCGAAUCUUUGAACGCACAUUGCGCCCCUUGGUAUUCCAUGGGGCAUGCCUGUUCGAGCGUCAUUUGUACCUUCAAGCUCUGCUUGGUGUUGGGUGUUUGUCUCGCCUCUGCGUGUAGACUCGCCUCAAAACAAUUGGCAGCCGGCGUAUUGAUUUCGGAGCGCAGUACAUCUCGCGCUUUGCACUCAUAACGACGACGUCCAAAAGUACAUUUUUACACUCUUGACCUCGGAUCAGGUAGGGAUACCCGCUGAACUUAAGCAUAACAAUAAGCGGAGGA
rnacentral:misc_RNA from 1 species